UGUUUUAACUGGAAUGGUAACAAGGGC
rnacentral:piRNA from 1 species